AUGGUAACGAGGAAGAAGGAGAUGUUCAGUAAUAUAAAAUACCGGAAGGCGGUGACGGAGGGGAAGUCACUGGUGGCAGCCAUGACGGAAACAGAAACGGCAGCGAAGGCAAACUGAAACAACCGCAAAGCAAGGUUAGUUGGAGUUCCAGGCAUGCCUUGAAUAUCCUUCAUUCUGACUCUAUCAUCAGGUCUACCAUCGUUUUCAGCACCAGCAGCAGCUGCUGGUUCAGUCAAUUGGGGGAUUUCAACAUCUAAUGGGUGAACAGCAGGGUGGCUUCUGCUACUCAUUCUUUCUUCUACUCUACAAUUGGAUUCAAAGCUUCAUCUUUUUCGCACCGAUUGACUUACGGAUCUGUUGGAAUUGUGGAUGAAUUUCGGGUUUUGGGAAAGUAGAGUGGUCGGAAGUCGUUCAAGUGACGACGACUAGAAGAUGUUCACGACGUCGUUUACGUGGAGGCACCGCUCUCUUGCCCUAUGGCUAUAUGUCCUUUUCCGUGAUAAUGUCUAUUAUUUUAUUAAUUAAACAUAACUAGGUUUUUUCACAAUCACCACGUUGCGGCAAACUUAUUUUGUUAUUUGGUCUGUGUUUACAUGUGUUUUGAAAUCACUAUGAGGGCGUUGUGC
rnacentral:lncRNA from 1 species